rnacentral:rRNA from 1 species
AGGGUUUGAUUAUGGCUCAGGACGAACGCUGGCGGCGUGCCUAACACAUGCAAGUCGAACGGACUGAUUUGAGAGCUUGCUCUUGAUGAAAGUUAGUGGCGGACGGGUGAGUAACGCGUGAGUAACCUGCCUUUCAGAGGGGGAUAACAUUCUGAAAAGGAUGCUAAUACCGCAUAACAUCUUAGUAUCGCAUGGUAUUGAGAUCAAAGGAGCAAUCCGCUGGAAGAUGGACUCGCGUCCGAUUAGCUAGUUGGCGGGAUAAAGGCCCACCAAGGCGACGAUCGGUAGCCGGACUGAGAGGUUGAACGGCCACAUUGGGACUGAGACACGGCCCAG